rnacentral:rRNA from 1 species
UCUAGUGGCGAACGGGUGAGUAGCACGUGAGCAACCUGCCCCGAAGACCGGGACAACACCGGGAAACCGGUGCUAAUACCGGAUACCCCCACCGAGCCGCAUGGCCUGGUGAGGAAAUGGAUUCCGCUUCGGGAGGGGCUCGCGGCCUAUCAGCUUGUUGGUGAGGUAACGGCUCACCAAGGCGUCGACGGGUAGCUGGUCUGAGAGGACGAUCAGCCACACUGGGACUGAGACACGGCCCAGACUCCUACGGGAGGCAGCAGUGGGGAAUCUUGCACAAUGGGCGCAAGCCUGAUGCAGCAACGCCGCGUGAGGGACGAAGGCUUUCUGAGUUGUAAACCUCUUUCAGCAGGGACGAUUAUGACGGUACCUGCAGAAGAAGCCCCGGCCAACUACGUGCCAGCAGCCGCGGUAAUACGUAGGGGGCAAGCGUUGUCCGGAUUUAUUGGGCGUAAAGAGCUCGUAGGCGGCUUGGCAAGUCGGAUGUGAAACCUCCAGGCUCAACCUGGAGCCGCCAUUCGAUACUGCCAUGGCUAGAGUUUGGUAGGGGACCACGGAAUUCCUGGUGUAGCGGUGAAAUGCGCAGAUAUCAGGAGGAACACCAGCGGCGAAGGCGGUGGUCUGGGCCAAUACUGACGCUGAGGAGCGAAAGCGUGGGGAGCGAACAGGAUUAGAUACCCUGGUAGUCCACGCCGUAAACGUUGGGCACUAGGUGUGGGGACCUAUCGACGGUUUCUGUGCCGCAGCUAACGCAUUAAGUGCCCCGCCUGGGGAGUACGGCCGCAAGGCUAAAACUCAAAGGAAUUGACGGGG